UGCCGUACAAAAUUUCGAAAAAAAAACCUUUCUUAACAUACAAAAUUUUGAACAGGCCUCACAGUCCUGGUUGGUUUUAAGCCACUGCUUAGUUAGUACUCAAUAAUGAUUGAAAACGGACCAGAAUGGCCAGCUAAACCAGUUCAACUUGAUACCAGAGCCUAGUCCAGUCCGGAUCAUCUUAUUUAUACCGGCUCAACGUCUAACUGGUUAUUAACUGCACUGACCUGGUUCAAACCGUGUAAACGGUACCACGUCAGACCGGAUCCGCUUUUAGAAAAAAGAUUAAAUGGUUGUGUCUGCAAUCCAGAGGGCGCGAACACCUGACCGUUAGGGUGUUGAGGAAGACACACAGCCACACAAGCUGGGUCCACUCUUGAGAAGUUACGGGCAACUAAUUGAUCUUCAAAUGUAUUGCCUUUCCUACUUUGGAAUAAUUGCUAAAUUGGCACAGGGAGAACACAAACACUGGAACUCUAGUUUAAAAACACAGGGCUUUACCAUCUUGGCUAAAGGCAUGCCUGUUUAACUGUUUCAGGUUUAC